ACUCCCCCCCGCUCCUCAUUCCCCUAACCCUAGCCCAUUCUCCGCGCCGCUGCCGCCGCGGCCUCCCGUCCCCUGGCGCCGCCACCAUGCCCACUCGCUGUCGCGCCUUCCCCUCCUCCUCGUCCUCUCGCUGCUCAGCAGGAGGAGCACGGCUCGCCGCCGGUCCUAACGCGUUGCCUCCCUCCUCCGCCCCUCCCCUCGAGCCGCCGGUUGGCGCCUUCCCUCCCUGCCUCGCCUCUUCUCCUCUGCGUCGCCUGGGUUGGAUGAACCCUAGCCUCCACUCCCCCUCUCCCCUUCUCAGCCGCGCUCUCUUCUCUCUCCGCCCCCACUCGCGCCGCCACCCACCGGGAAGCACCACGGCUGCUGCUGCUCCUCAGGCGAGCUCGCACAUCAUCAUCGGGAGGCGAGGACGCUGCUGCUGCUCCGCUCAUGGACAUGGAGCCUUCCUCCCUGCUCGUCAAGGUGAUCUCUCGCCCAUAUCCCCUCCUCCUAUUCUUCUUUUUCUUCUUCUCUACCCCCAUCUCGUCUUCUCUCUAUUCUGUUGGUACAACGGCUAGCGACGGCAACGCCGACAACCAAGGAAAGCUCCGGCGAGGUCUGCUCCUUCUCCACCCGUAGAGGAGCCUGCCAAAACACACACCAUGGAAUUGGAAGAGGUGAGGAGAGGAGAGGAGAGCAAAUGAAUUAAUGAGAGCAGAGGAAUUUAUUUCAAAUCACAAGAUCCUUGAGUCAAAACAAAGCAAGAUUUACAGCUUCCCGCAGGAUUCAGUUCGCUACAGCACCGUCGCCAUCAUUGUUGUGAUGAGCGCCUUGGCGCUGCUGCUUCUGUGUGUUGGCGCUGUUCGACGCCCGCUACAAAACCAACCAGGGUCAAGGCGAACUUGAAGGAAUACAUGCAGCCACCUUUGUAACGCCAUUGGCUUUGUAGACUUCUUGUACCUUCAGUGUCCAUCUUCCACCUCCCGGUUCGCUCGGCCUCAGCCAGGAUCUUCCCCACCCUGCUCUUAUGUUGUGAAAACUCAUGCAUGCCGAAAGCCGCCUCCAUGCUGCAGCUGCCGCAACCUGUAGAUCAAGCAGGCAGCGGCGACACUAGACGAGGUGUCCUUACACUGCAAGGCUGCCCUCGACAUAUGUGAAAAGUUUGCCGAGUUAAUUAUUGUCCUGAGUCAAACGAAAAUCUGAAAACUAUCAAAGAGAUGUCGAAUGAUGAAUAUUUUCAGAUGCCGACAGGCAUGGUAAAACGUGUUUCCGUAGGAUUUAAACUUCUUGAGUUGUGCACAGAGAAAGAAACUUGGAUAUUCUUAAUCACACAAAGGUGUUUUCUUACAUUUAGGUUGACUAUUAUGUGCUCAUCAUUGACUCCACGACCGCUGGUUUUGAGGAUGGUACCUCCCAAGAAUGACCAGACCCGUGAGCACGUCGUCCUUGCAUUCACUCUUGGAGUGAAGCAGAUUAUCUGCUGUUUAAUAAGAUGUCCCUGAGCUCUGAGAGCCGCCGGCAAGCCACACACUGCAGGGACAAACGAGGGCAUCGAGCCGAGAUGAUGCCAACUUGGUGGAGCUCAAGAAAUGCCAAAGACAACUCAUAGCUGAGCAGUUCUGGUCAUAGUGCUAUAUGAUCGUGUGAAUCCUUUCAGAAUCAGCUCGCCUCUUUAACCAUGACAAAGGAAGGGUCUCAUUCAGAGAGCGACGACGAUAACACUCCAUCAGCUAAAAGUGUCAACAAAUUAGAGCUAUCAACUGUCGUUGGGAAUCUCGAAAGACACGCUUCAGUAUUAUGCCUCUUAUAAGUGAGAAGCCUGAAUUUGUGCUCUCUUUUGGUAGAUGCGGUAUGUAAUGGUGAAUCACGCCGACCUCUGAAAUGCAUGGAACUUGGUGUUGAGUUAUCUGAAUUGCUGCCCAGGAUUCAGUUUGUAUUUUAUUUACCUGUAGUAUGGUAUGUAAUGACAAGGAAGUUGAGGACUAGGCAUGGAUGUUGUUUAACUUUAUAUUUGCUGGCGACUGUUUCUUAAAUGGUUAGCUGGUCCAUGUAGUGUAAUUUGUUGAGCCUUUUGAUGCGCUCUUUGAUUUUCGAUUCAUUCUUUGUGUCUGAUUAAACU